CUAUACAUGCAAGUCGAGCGGUGCAGCAAUGCAUAGCGGCGAACGGGUGAGUAACGCGUAAGCAAUCUGCCCCACACUCGGGAAUAGCCGUGCCAACGCGCGGGUAAUACCGGAUAUCGUGGCCUUGGACAUCCGAGGUUGACGAAAGAUCCAUCGGUGUGGGAUGAGCGUUGCGUCCGAUUAGCUAGGUAGGCGGGCAACGGCCCACCUAGGCGACGAUCGGUAGCCGGCCUGAGAGGGUGAUCGGCCACAUUGGGACUGAGAUACGGCCCAGACUCCUACGGGAGGCAGCAGUAGGGAAUAUUGCACGAAUGGGGGGAACCCUGAUGCAGCAACGCCCACGUGUGGGAAGAAGCAUUUCGGUGUGUAAACCACUGUCGUGAGGGAAUAAGGCAUUUUUCGGAGAUGUUGAAUGUACCUCGAAAGGAAGCACCGGCAAACUUCGUGCCAGCCGCGGC
rnacentral:rRNA from 1 species